UAAGCGCGCGCAGGCGGUUUCUUAAGUCUGAUGUGAAAGCCCACGGCUCAACCGUGGAGGGUCAUUGGAAACUGGGAAGCUUGAGUGCAGAAGAGGAGAGUGGAAUUCCAUGUGUAGCGGUGAAAUGCGUAGAGAUAUGGAGGAACACCAGUGGCGAAGGCGACUCUCUGGUCUGCAACUGACGCUGAGGCGCGAAAGCGUGGGGAGCGAACAGGAUUAGAUACCCUGGUAGUCCACGCUGUAAACGAUGAGUGCUAGGUGUCGGGGGGGUCCAACCCUCGGUGCUGUCGCUAACGCAAUAAGCACUCCGCCUGGGGAGUACGGUCGCAAGACUGAAACUCAAAGGAAUUGACGGGGGCCCGCACAAGCGGUGGAGCAUGUGGUUUAAUUCGAAGCAACGCGAAGAACCUUACCAAGUCUUGACAUCCCUUGCACGCUCUAGAGAUAGAGUUUUCCCCUUCGGGGGACAAGGUGACAGGUGGUGCAUGGUUGUCGUCAGCUCGUGUCGUGAGAUGUUGGGUUAAGUCCCGCAACGAGCGCAACCCUUGAUCUUAGUUGCCAGCAUUUAGUUGGGCACUCUAAGGUGACUGCCGGUGACAAACCGGGAGGAAAGUGGGGAUGACGUCAAAUCAUCAUGCCCCUUAUGACUUGGGCUACACACGUGCUACAAUGGUGAUACAAAGGUUGCGAAGUCGCGAGACGGAGCUAAUCCCAUAAAGUCACUCUCAGUUCGGAUUGCAGGCUGC
rnacentral:rRNA from 1 species